UAGGCUGCAACUCGCCUACACGAAGCUGGAAUCGCUAGUAAUCGCGGAUCAGCACGCCGCGGUGAAUACGUUCCCGGGCCUUGUACACACCGCCCGUCACACCAUGAGAGUUGGCAAUACCCAACGUACGUGAUCUAACCCGCAAGGGAGGAAGCGUCCUAAGGUAGGGUCAGCGAUUGGGGUGAAGUCGUAACAAGGUAAC
rnacentral:rRNA from 1 species